ACACCUCAACUCUCAUGGUUUGCUGUGAUGAGCUUGGACUUUGGAGGCUUUGCUGGUCUUUGAUCGGCUCCUCUUGAAUGAAUCAGCCUGCCAGUGUUUGGUGGCGUCGCAAGUGUGAUAACUAUCUACCCUUGAGAACGCCUGCCAGGUAACCUUCAGCAAUGGGGGUUCGCUGGGGCUCAUAGACGUCUCUCCCUAAGUGAGGACAGUUUUUUAAC
rnacentral:misc_RNA from 1 species